rnacentral:rRNA from 7 species
UGGGGAAUAUUGCACAAUGGGCGCAAGCCUGAUGCAGCCAUGCCGCGUGUAUGAAGAAGGCCUUCGGGUUGUAAAGUACUUUCAGCGGGGAGGAAGGGAGUAAAGUUAAUACCUUUGCUCAUUGACGUUACCCGCAGAAGAAGCACCGGCUAACUCCGUGCCAGCAGCCGCGGUAAUACGGAGGGUGCAAGCGUUAAUCGGAAUUACUGGGCGUAAAGCGCACGCAGGCGGUUUGUUAAGUCAGAUGUGAAAUCCCCGGGCUCAACCUGGGAACUGCAUCUGAUACUGGCAAGCUUGAGUCUCGUAGAGGGGGGUAGAAUUCCAGGUGUAGCGGUGAAAUGCGUAGAGAUCUGGAGGAAUACCGGUGGCGAAGGCGGCCCCCUGGACGAAGACUGACGCUCAGGUGCGAAAGCGUGGGGAGCAAACA